rnacentral:lncRNA from 1 species
GGAAGGGUGAGGGUGCAGGGCAAGGACAGCAGUAGGAGCUUACUGCAGUGACUGUAUCAUAACUGCUGGUUAUGAGGAUUGGAUUUCUUUUUUGCAGAUGUCACGUGCCGGGGUGAACUGUUAUUAACUAAAAGGAGUCAGGGCUUAGCUGCAAGAAAGGAGGGCCUGGGUGGCUGCAAUGGCAGCAAGAACAGUUGUUCUCCCUGAGCUACUCAGCAAAGACGGUGUCUACUCAGUAUUUUUUAACGUAAUGGUUAUAGGAAUGGUUGAAGAAAAUCAUUACAGAAGCAGGACAAGGGUAAGAUUGUGAGAUGGGAGAGGAUAUCAUUUGGAUGUUUGUCCCCUCCAAAUCUCAUGUUGAAAUUUGAUCUCUAAGGGUGGAGGUGAGGCCUGGUGGGAGGUGUUUAGGUCACCGGGGUGGAUCCCUCAAGAAUGGCUUAGUGGCCUGGACACGGUGGCUCACGCCUGUAAUCCCAGCACUUUGGGAGGCUGAGGUGGGCAGAUCACCUGAGGUCAGCAGUUCAAGACCAGCCUGGCCAACAUGGUGAAACCCCAUCUCUACUAAAAAUACAAAAAAAAAAAAAAAAAAUUAGCUGCGCAUUGUGGUGGGCACCUGUAAUCUCAGCUACUCGGGAGGCCGAGGCAGGAGAAUCGCUUGCACCUGAGGCAGAAGUUGCAGUGAGCCAAGAUCGCACCAUUGCACUCCAGCCUGGGCAACAAGAGUGAAACUCUGUCUCAAAAAAAAAAGAAUGGCUGAGUGCCCUCCUCACAGUCAUGAGUGAGUUCUUGCUGAAUUCGUUUGCACAAGAGCUGGUCAUUGAAAAGAGGCUGGCAUCUCCUCUCUCUCUCUUGUUCCCUCUAUUACCAUGUGAUAUGUCUGUUCCCCCUUCACCUUGCACCAUGGAUAAAAGCUUCCUGAGACCUCACCAGAGCUGAGCAGAUGCUGGGGCCAUGCUUGUACAACCAGCAGAACUGUGAGCCAAAUAAACCUCUCUUCUGUAUAAAUUA